GAUGAACGCUGGCGGCGUGCCUAAUACAUGCAAGUCGAGCGAACAGACGAGGAGCUUGCUCCUCUGACGUUAGCGGCGGACGGGUGAGUAACACGUGGAUAACCUGCCUAUAAGACUGGGAUAACUUCGGGAAACCGGAGCUAAUACCGGAUAACAUGUUGAACCGCAUGGUUCAACAGUGAAAGACGGUCUUGCUGUCACUUAUAGAUGGAUCCGCGCCGCAUUAGCUAGUUGGUAAGGUAACGGCUUACCAAGGCAACGAUGCGUAGCCGACCUGAGAGGGUGAUCGGCCACACUGGAACUGAGACACGGUCCAGACUCCUACGGGAGGCAGCAGUAGGGAAUCUUCCGCAAUGGGCGAAAGCCUGACGGAGCAACGCCGCGUGAGUGAAGAAGGUCUUCGGAUCGUAAAACUCUGUUAUUAGGGAAGAACAAAUGUGUAAGUAACUAUGCACGUCUUGACGGUACCUAAUCAGAAAGCCACGGCUAACUACGUG
rnacentral:rRNA from 1 species